CAGCGUAAAAUGCCUUGCGUUUGGCCUUCCUAAGAUACAUCUGGUUCCUCUCCAUUCCAGCAUUCAGAUCUUGAAGAGCCUCUGAUCGUGGGCCCUAAAGAAGUCCCAACAUAUUGAUGCAAAGCAGACAUUUACCUGAAGUUCUUGACGUGAUCGUCUACACCAGACAGAGACAGAGCGUUGCCGACCGCGCUCACGAACGUCACUGCCUGAGUGGACGAACCCCAGUUCACAGCUGGAGAUAAAAUAACAGGUACCUCUGGCUCUGAAGCUCCCUGUUUCUGAUCUGCAGUACAGACUCCAGCAACCUGCCCACUGUUUAUUCCAUACAAACUGUUUUGCACAGUUUUCUUUCUGUACUCUGCCUAUGGAGCAGC